AGAUAGGGCAAGUGCAUAAUAAGAAAUCAUACAAAAAGAAGAGAUUUGUGUAUGUUCAAAAAACAAAGAAAAAAAAGAAACAAAAGAGAAAAAAUGCACUUGCCGAGACUUCAGACUCUAACACCUAUAAAAUGCUCGCAAAGAAUUGAGUGGAAAAAGAGUCAAAAGAGUGAAAUUAACACCCAGAGUUUAAGUGAUGCACGAAAAAAGAGAGAAAGAAAAACCACACAACAUGAAUGCCGAGUUUUAAACCCUUUGUUAUCCAUUUUUGUGUUUAUCCCAC
rnacentral:lncRNA from 1 species